GACGAACGCUGGCGGCGUGCUUAACACAUGCAAGUCGAACGGAAAGGCCCUGCUUUUGUGGGGUGCUCGAGUGGCGAACGGGUGAGUAACACGUGAGUAACCUGCCCUUGACUUUGGGAUAACUUCAGGAAACUGGGGCUAAUACCGGAUAGGAGCUCCUGCUGCAUGGUGGGGGUUGGAAAGUUUCGGCGGUUGGGGAUGGACUCGCGGCUUAUCAGCUUGUUGGUGGGGUAGUGGCUUACCAAGGCUUUGACGGGUAGCCGGCCUGAGAGGGUGACCGGCCAAAUUGGGACUGGGAUACGGCCCAGACUCCUACGGGAGGCAGCAGUGGGGAAUAUUGCACAAUGGGCGGAAGCCUGAUGCAGCCACGCCGCGUGCGGGAUGACGGCCUUCGGGUUGUAAACCGCUUUCGCCUGUGACGAAGCGUGAGUGACGGUAAUGGGUAAAGAAGCACCGGCUAACUACGUG
rnacentral:rRNA from 1 species